CAGGGAGACAACAAAAUGUUUUAUAUUAUUAUUUUGUCACCUUAGGUCGAUCGGUAUCUCACGUUUUUAAUUUAUUAAGAAUUUCAUUUCCUAAGUUUUUCUAGGUCACACCCAUUAUUUUUCCUGGGCCAUUAGCUCAGGUGGUUAGAGCGCACCCCUGAUAAGGGUGAGGUCCCUGGUUCAAGUCCAGGAUGGCCCAUAUCUCUAUGUUGGGGGUAUAGCUCAGUUGGUAGAGCGCCUGCUUUGCAAGCAGGAUGUCAGCGGUUCGAGUCCGCUUACCUCCACUGAUUACCACCUCUUCCAUAAUCUUUAGAAAGGAAAUUUUUUGAGUUGUGAUCAUAAUUCUGAACGAAUCUAGCUUCCUAAUGAAUCCAUUAAGAUGCUGGACUCAUUGAAUUAAUUUCAUUGUUUUCAGAGAACCUUGACAACUGCAUAGAUUAUUUUUAAAGACAAUAAGCAUCUUUUAUGAUGCAGAUUUUUUAUUUGUGCGAAUGCAUUAAUAACAAUUCUAUUAAGCUGAUGCUUCAAUUUUGAAGUCAUU
rnacentral:tRNA from 1 species